rnacentral:sRNA from 1 species
UUUCAGGUUGCGUUGGUAAAGUUUGCAGUAAAUGGUAGAUUAACUCUUUCUACUGCUAUGUGACGCAUUCCCGGUAAUCCUAUAAAUUGCAAAUCUUAUUUGCCUUAGUAUGGGCUCUGGCCCAAAUACCCGCACAUGGUUGGUCCAUGCCAGGCAUUUGCCAUAAUGCCAAGCACAACCACACCCGCGUACACACACACACAUAAAUGGACGUGAAUACAUGAAACUCCCUGUACUGCAGGCCAAUGUGGCUCCUUUGCUACGCAUCACAUCGCAUUUCGACGGUUUGGCAUUAAAG